GGCCUGCUGGCCCAAUGGUAAGGCGCUUGACUACGGAUCAAGAGACUGCAGGUUCGAGUCCUGCGUAGGUCA
rnacentral:tRNA from 1 species